AUUGAACGCUGGCGGCAGGCCUAACACAUGCAAGUCGAGCGGAGCGGCGGACGGGCGGGUAAUACCUAGGAAGCUGCCUGAUAGUGGGGGAUAGAUUUCGGAAAGGGACGCUAAUACAGCAUACUAUCAGUCGAGCCUAGGUCGGAUUAGCUAGUUGGUGAGUGAAUGGCUCACCAAGGCUACGAUCCGUAGCUGGUCUGAGUGGAUGAUCAGUCACACUGGAACUGAGACACGGUCCAGACUCCUACGGGAGGCAGCAGUGGGGAAUAUUGGACAAUGGGCGAAAGCCUGAUGCAGCCAUGCCGCGUGUAUGAAGAAGGUCUUAGGAUUGUAAAGUACUUUAAGUCGGGAGGCGUUACCGACAGAAUAAGCACCGGCUAACUCUGUGCCAGCAGCCGCGGUAAUUC
rnacentral:rRNA from 1 species